rfam:Loxodonta africana unplaced genomic scaffold scaffold_44, whole genome shotgun sequence.
GCUGUGGUGGUGCAGUGGUAGAAUUCUCACCUUCCAUGCAGGAGAUCCAGGUUCAAUUCCCGGCCAAUGCA